GACUGACCGAUAGUGAACCAGUACCGUGAGGGAAAGGCGAAAAGAACCCCGGCGAGGGGAGUGAAAAAGAACCUGAAACCGUGUACGUACAAGCAGUGGGAGCACGCUUAGGCGUGUGACUGCGUACCUUUUGUAUAAUGGGUCAGCGACUUAUAUUCUGUAGCAAGGUUAACCGAAUAGGGGAGCCGAAGGGAAACCGAGUCUUAACUGGGCGUUAAGUUGCAGGGUAUAGACCCGAAACCCGGUGAUCUAGCCAUGGGCAGGUUGAAGGUUGGGUAACACUAACUGGAGGACCGAACCGACUAAUGUUGAAAAAUUAGCGGAUGACUUGUGGCUGGGGGUGAAAGGCCAAUCAAACCGGGAGAUAGCUGGUUCUCCCCGAAAGCUAUUUAGGUAGCGCCUCGUGAAUUCAUCUCCGGGGGUAGAGCACUGUUUCGGCAAGGGGGUCAUCCCGACUUACCAACCCGAUGCAAACUGCGAAUACCGGAGAAUGUUAUCACGGGAGACACACGGCGGGUGCUAACGUCCGUCGUGAAGAGGGAAACAACCCAGACCGCCAGCUAAGGUCCCAAAGUCAUGGUUAAGUGGGAAACGAUGUGGGAAGGCCCAGACAGCCAGGAUGUUGGCUUAGAAGCAGCCAUCAUUUAAAGAAAGCGUAAUAGCUCACUGGUCGAGUCGGCCUGCGCGGAAGAUGUAACGGGGCUAAACCAUGCACCGAAGCUGCGGCAGCGACGCUGAUGCGUUGUUGGGUAGGGGAGCGUUCUGUAAGCCUGCGAAGGUGUGCUGUGAGGCAUGCUGGAGGUAUCAGAAGUGCGAAUGCUGACAUAAGUAACGAUAAAGCGGGUGAAAAGCCCGCUCGCCGGAAGACCAAGGGUUCCUGUCCAACGUUAAUCGGGGCAGGGUGAGUCGACCCCUAAGGCGAGGCCGAAAGGCGUAGUCGAUGGGAAACAGGUUAAUAUUCCUGUACUUGGUGUUACUGCGAAGGGGGGACGGAGAAGGCUAUGUUGGCCGGGCGACGGUUGUCCCGGUUUAAGCGUGUAGGCUGGUUUUCCAGGCAAAUCCGGAAAAUCAAGGCUGAGGCGUGAUG
rnacentral:rRNA from 1 species